rnacentral:lncRNA from 1 species
ACUAUGUUGUCUGGAGUGCUGUGGUGGAGUGGAGUGGCUAUUCACAGAGCCUGUUCUGCUGGGACACAGAAUCACUUGCUCCAUCUCAUACAUUGAUGAUGAUUAAUUUGUAUGUGUACCUUCCAAAAAAGAUGGUUGUGUUUGAAUGGAGGCCUUCUGGACAGGAAAAUACACAGACAGCUCUUGAGGUAUCUGAAGCCUGUCUCUUCAGGUACACAAAGCAUUACAGCAUUAAGUCAGCAGAGCGAAGGACCAUGAUUUUGCAAUGAAAAUAAUAAUUUAGAUGGAGAGUGCGUGCUUUGGAUUCAAGACUGGGAAUGAGGGGACCAGAAACCUAUUCUGUGGCUGUUUCUUGUUAGGACUUUCCUAAGCCUCUGGAAAAGUGCAAAGUACAAUUAACAUUUGAGUCUGUCUGAGUCAUGAAGAAAUGGAGAUUACUGAAAAUAAUUCAUUUUGGUAUCUUCUUACAUCCUGAGAGACUAAUCUUUCCAAGUUCAUCUGAGGCUCCUCUUCUCCAUGACAACCUCAUCCAGGGAUUUCUUCCUGUCCUGGUGUUUUAUGACAUGUGGAAGGGGACUGUAGCAGGUGAUCUCCAAAGUCUCUGGAGACUUACUAAUGUGCAUCCUCAUCUCGCUUGUAAGGAUAAUAGCCUUCCUCCAAACCUCACACACUUUUGGAGGAGAUCACUUUUUUUAAAGUGCAUGGAAAUGUUUUGAAACAGUGAAAUCUAUAAUGAUAGGUUUCAUAAUUCUAACAUCCACACCAUAUGAAUCACAUCCUUCCUGAGAUAAUGAGCACACAAUUGCCUGGAUACCUGAAGGAAUGGAGACAGCGGCAGAAAACACUGCAGAGAGGUGGAAACAUCCGUUAAUAUUUUAAAAUCCCAUUACUGCUACCAACAAUAAUAAUGGAUGCAUAGAAAUAGAUCUGGAUUAGCUGAGCUUGAAACAGUCCAUCUCACACACACACAAAAGAAUUUCAGGUAAUGAAGAAAAGAAAAGGAAAAAAAUAA